rnacentral:rRNA from 1 species
AUUGAACGCUGGCGGCAGGCCUAACACAUGCAAGUCGAGCGAGCGGCGGACGGGUGAGUAAUGUAUGGGGACUGCCCGCUCGAGGGGGAUAACUACUGGAAACGGUGGCUAAUACCGCAUACAGUCGGAUAACCCAUAUGGGAUUAGAUCGUAGGUAAGGUAAUGGCUUACCUACGCGACGAUCCCUAGCUGGUCUGCAAGGAUGAUCAGCCACACUGGGACUGAGAAACGGCCCAGACUCCUACGGAGGCAGCAGUGGCGAAUAUUGCACCAUGGGCGCAAGCCUGACGCAGCCAUGCCGCGUGUAUGAAGAAGGCCGUAGGGUUGUAAAGUACUUUCAGUCGGGAGGCGUUACCGACAGAAGAAGCACCGGCGAACUCCGUGCCAGCAGCCGCGGUAAUAC